AUUGAACGCUGGCGGCAGGCCUAACACAUGCAAGUCGAACGAGUGGCGGACGGGUGAGUAAUGUCUGGGAAACUGCCUGAUGGAGGGGGAUAACUACUGGAAACGGUAGCUAAUACCGCAUACCAUCGGAUGUGCCCAGAUGGGUUUAGCUAGGAGGUGGGGUAAAGGCUCACCGAGGCGACGCGCCCUAGCUGGUCAGAGAGGAUGACCAGCCACCCGGGAAAUGAGACACGGUCCAGACUCCUACGCGAGGCAGCAGUGGGGAAUAUGGCACAAUGGGCGGAAGCCUGAUGCAGCCAUGCCGCGUGUAUGAAGAAGGCCUUCGGGUUGUAAAGUACUUUCAGCGGGGAGGCGUUACCCGCAGAAGAAGCACCGGCUAACUCCGUGCCAGCAGCCGCGGUAAUUC
rnacentral:rRNA from 1 species